rnacentral:rRNA from 1 species
GGGGUAGCCCGGCUUUUAGUCAGUGUUCUGGAUAUUGAGUUCGUGCCUGAUGUGGUCAACUGGACCUAUAGGGGCGAGGUGUUCCCCCUAGAUAUUGAGUUUGAGGACACAGAUCUGUUUGCACAGGCGGUUAAUGGAAAUGAUGUUGAUAUGCAUGAGGGUGAUGGAGAUGCGGGAGCUAAUGGGCCACAGACCGAGGAGCCGACACGACAGGGGUCGAACGGGUCUCGCCCAGAUGCUCAGUUGCCCGGGGAGGGUACCGGGGUUCAGCCGACAGCAUCGCCUUCGAUGCCGAUGACCUCGUUGCGGUUCGGGUCCUUUGAGCCAGCAUCAGCGCCACCUAGACUUUGGAGUGACCGG